UUUCCGUAGGUGAACCUGCGGAAGGAUCAUUCAUAAUCAGUGUUUUAUGGCACUUUUUUAAAUCCAUAUCCACCUUGUGUGCAAUGUCAGGGUUGAUUUUUCUCUCGAGAGGAUCAACCCCAAACAUCAAAUAUACCUCAACUCUUUGUCUGAAAAAUAUUAUGAAUAAAACAAUUUAAAAUACAACUUUCAACAACGGAUCUCUUGGCUCUC
rnacentral:misc_RNA from 1 species